GAUGAAGAACGCAGUGAAAUGCGAUAAGUAAUGUGAAUUGCAGAAUUCAGUGAAUCAUCGAAUCUUUGAACGCACAUUGCGCCCGCCAGUAUUCUGGCGGGCAUGCCUGUUCGAGCGUCAUUUCAACCAUCAAGCCCCCGGGCUUGUGUUGGGGACCUGCGGCUGCCGCAGACCCUGAAAAGCAGUGGCGGGCUCGCUGUCACACCGAGCGUAGUAGCAUACAUCUCGCUCUGGGCGUGCUGCGGGUUCCGGCCGUUAAACUACCCUUUUAACCCAAGGUUGACCUCGGAUCAGGUAGGAAGACCCGCUGAACUUAAGCAUAUCAAUAAGCGGAGGA
rnacentral:misc_RNA from 1 species